rnacentral:snRNA from 1 species
GGAGCUCGGACGCGAGUUCUA